rnacentral:rRNA from 1 species
CUACGGAAGGCAGCAGUAGGGAAUAUUGCUCAAUGGGCGAAAGCCUGAAGCAGCAACGCCGCGUGCACGAUGAAGGCCUUCGGGUCGUAAAGUGCUUUUCUGCGAGAUGAGAAAGGACAGUAUCGUAGGAAUAAGUCUCGGCUAACUACGUGCCAGCAGCCGCGGUAAAACGUAGGAGGCGAGCGUUAUCCGGAUUCACUGGGCGUAAAGCGCGUGCAGGUGGUUCGGUAAGUUGGGCGUGAAAUCUCCCGGCUCAACUGGGAGAGGUCGUUCAAUACUACCGAACUUGAGAGCAGAAGAGGAAGAUGGAAUUCCCGGUGUAGUGGUGAAAUGCGUAGAUAUCGGGAGGGACACCAGUGGCGAAGGCGAUCUUCUGGUCUGUUUCUGACACUCAGACGCGACAGCUAGGGUAGUAAACGGGAUUAGAUACCCUUGUAGUCC